GCCUGCUCUGCUCCCCAGUGUGUGAUAACCGACAGGGCCCCGUCCAGACCUGCUACUUCCACUUUUCUCCCACCUGUUUCUUUGGAAAAGCUCAUGAUUUCGUGUGAUGAAUGUGACACCAUGAAUGCGCUGCUGGGGGCUACAACAAAGCUUGGAGAAAGUCAGUUUUACAGAGAGGACUGGCAAAGAAACCAUGGAUAAGAGGAACUGCGAUAUUGUCUGGCAAAGUCAUCGACUAUGUCAACAUCUCCACUGGGAAAGAGGUAACUGGGAAAAGGGUAUAUUUGAAGACGGGGUUUAAGUAAAAGAUGAAGAGGGAGGACUGUGAGACUCC